UACAGAGGUCUCAAGCGUUGUUCGGAUUCAUUGGGCGUAAAGGGUGCGUAGGCGGCGCGGUAAGUCGGGUGUGAAAUCUCGGAGCUUAACUCCGAAACUGCAUUCGAUACUGCCGUGCUUUGAGGACUGGAGAGGAGACUGGAAUUUACGGUGUAGCGGUGAAAUGCGUAGAUAUCGAGAGGAACACCUGCGGCGAAGGCGGGGUUGCUGGGCCGACACUGACGCUGAUGCGCGAAAGCCAGGGGGAGCGAACGGGG
rnacentral:rRNA from 1 species